rnacentral:rRNA from 1 species
UACGAAGGGGCGGAGCGUUAUUCGGUAAGUACACUGGGCGGUAAAGACGUGCGUAGGCGUGUUCUGCAAGUCAGAAGUGAAAGCCCAAGGCUCAACCUUGGAAGCGCUUUUGAAACUGCAGGACUAGAAUUUGGGAGAGGAUAGCGGAAUUGUCAGUGUAGCAGUGAAAUGCGUAGAUAUUGACAGGAACACCAGUGGCGCAAGCGGCUAUCUGGACC